AGCAUUUAAGUUAAAACUAUGCCAAUACCUUCAGAGUUAGCUCCUUCAGCUGACCUUCAGGUGCUUUCGAGGUACUGCUUGCAUGCAAACACACCGAUUGGGCAUACAAUCGGCCAGUUAAUUGCAUAAAAGCAAUGAGAGCCAGGUGCUCUCGGGCCGGCUAAUCAGUUCAAAAGCUUGAACCAUAAGCGACACCUGGCCCAGACUCUGACUUGGACUUAAAUAGAAGGGCUGCUGUUGUCUGUUGGCAUAACUGAGCUGGGCUGAGCUAAGCAGCACAACGACCACUUUCAAUCAUAAAUUAACAUUAGAAUUUUAAAUGUGCGACUAAUUAAAAAUAGUUGGGCGAAAAAAAAAAACCUGUGAGAUUUCAUGCCCCAAGCUGUUGCCGCUGCACUCGCUCGAACAAUUACAAGAAAAUUGUGGAUUUAAUUUCCAUUUGAUAGUCGUCGGUUGCCAAGCGCUAUUCAAUUCAGCCCGACCCGCCCCGACCCACCUGGCUGGCCAGCGCCCACAGUCCAGGCCCAAGCAACAGGUGGCCCACAAAGUCUGCCAGGCAGCUGGCCAACGGGUCGUAUGAGCAUUGUGAUGUGGACCCGAGAGCGGAGCUGUGGGUGGGCCGGGUUUACCCAUGAUUAUUGAAUUUGCAGCUCUUUAGCGCGCUUUCAUUGUCUGUUUUAAGCAUGUCAAUAUUUUGGUUUUAGUUAAAUAAACAUCACAAUUGGAUACAAUCA